AGGCAGCAGUGAGGAAUAUUCUGCAAUGGGCGAAAGCCUGACAGAGCAACACCGCGUGAGGGAUGAAGGCUUGCGAGUUGUAAACCUCUUUUCUCAAGGAGGAAGAUCUGACGUUACUUGAGGAAUAAGCAUCGGCUAACCCUGUGCCAGCAGCCGCGG
rnacentral:rRNA from 1 species